UACAGAGGUCCCGAGCGUUGUUCGGAUUUACUGGGCGUAAAGGGCUCGUAGGCGGCCAACUAAGUCAGACGUGAAAUCCCUCGGCUUAACCGGGGAACUGCAUCUGAUACUGGAUGGCUUGAGUUCGGGGGAGGGAUGCGGAAUUCCAGGUGUAGCGGUGAAAUGCGUAGAUAUCUGGAGGAACACCGGUGGCGAAGGCGGCAUCCUGGACCGACACUGACGCUGAGGAGCGAAAGCCAGGGGAGCAAACGGG
rnacentral:rRNA from 1 species